ACCAUAUCGUGUAUACAAAUGUAUAUUUGCAUGAAAUUAUUAUGAAAUAUUGUUUAUGAUGAAUAUGAUUUGUACUUUGUUAAGUAUCUUCCAGCAAACACCCGGAUUUAAAAAUCUACCAAGCAUAUGAGCAAGGAUACAUCAGAGUAAUUUUUGUUAGAGGUUAGAGAGACCUCUGCAGACUGGAAGAUGCAAUAUAGCAAAUUGCUAUACAAAAGAAUACUUUCCUAUGGGGUAGAAAUCCCAACGCAGUGCCCCUUCCUCCCCAUGCUGCUGGGCCUCCUAAAAAUCAUGGGACCCUAAAACUGUCUCAUAUAUUCUGUAUGGGCAAAUAUGCAAAAAUAUAAAAAUAUGCAAAUGGACAGAAGAAUGGCUAGGACACCUAUACACCUAUAAGAUGAUGGAGAAUCACCAAACUCUGAUGUUGUGGCUAAGGCUUUAAAGGGGCAUUAAUAAAACCUGGCAUUUUCAA